UACGAAGGGUGCAAGCGUUAUUCGGAAUCACUGGGCGUAAAGGGUGUGUAGACGGUACAUUAAGUUCGUCGUUAAAGGCUCCGGCCUAACCGGAGUAUUGCGAUGAAAACUGGUGAGCUAGAGGGUGAGAGAGAGAAGUGGAAUUCCUGGUGUAGCGGUGAAAUGCGCAGAUAUCAGGAAGAACACCCGUGGCGAAGGCGGCUUUCUGGGACGGUACUGACGCUGAGACGCGAAAGCGUGGGGAGCGAACAGG
rnacentral:rRNA from 1 species